GGACACGUUAGCCUGAUUGUGGUCAACAUGUAAUGUAAAUAAUAUGAACAUGUAAAAACAGAGCAAAAUGUCAAGUGGUACAUCUUAGGUAUACACAGUUUCUAUUUGGUUAAUUAUACUCCAAUAAAGCUGGGAAAAGAACAGUUUCACAAUUUGGAUCAGAGCUCAGAGGAGAGGUCAGAGCUGGAGGGUUCAAGAACUUGUUAAUUUACCCAAGUUGGCCUUGAAUUUGCUGCCAUCCUGCCUUAGCCUCCAGGAGUGCUGAGAUUACAGCCCCUAGAUCACAUCUGAGCCAAUUAGAUGAUUUGUGGAGACACCCUAGAUGGCUUCUGGAAGGGGACUGGUCACCAGAAUGACUGAGCAUGUUAUCAGAGGGUUGGAAUUUUGAGCCAAUGUAACAUCUAUGAAGGGAUGGGGAGUAGAGAUUGGGUUCAAACAUGUGGCCAGUGAUUUCAUCAAGCAUGGCUACCUAAUGAGACACUAAUAAAAUCUCUAAACACCAAAGUGUAGUGGAACUUCCUGGUUGGUGGACGCACUGAAAUGCCUGGUUGUCUAUGCGGCCUGAUUUGAUGAGGAGGCCACACAGAACCUCUGCACUGAGGAUCUCCCAGACUUUGCUCUAGGCGUCUCUUUAUUUGGCUGGUCCAGAUCAUAGCUUCUACAGAAAAACUGUAAUUAUAAGUCUUGCACUUACCUAAGUUCUAUGAAUUGAUCUAGUGAAUUUUCUAAACUGCGAGAGUCUUUGGAACCCCCAAAUUUCUAGC
rnacentral:lncRNA from 1 species